rnacentral:rRNA from 1 species
AUUGAACGCUGGCGGCAGGCUUAACACAUGCAAGUCGAGCGGAGAUGAGGUGCUUGCACCUUAUCUUAGCGGCGGACGGGUGAGUAAUGCUUAGGAAUCUGCCUAUUAGUGGGGGACAACAUUCCGAAAGGAAUGCUAAUACCGCAUACGCCCUACGGGGGAAAGCAGGGGAUCUUCGGACCUUGCGCUAAUAGAUGAGCCUAAGUCGGAUUAGCUAGUUGGUGGGGUAAAGGCCUACCGAGGCGACGAUCUGUAGCGGGUCUGAGAGGAUGAUCCGCCACACUGGGACUGAGACACGGCCCAGACUCCUACGGGAGGCAGCAGUGGGGAAUAUUGGACAAUGGGCGGAAGCCUGGUCCAGCCAUGCCGCGUGUGUGAAGAAGGCCUUUUGGUUGUAAAGCACUUUAAGCGAGGAGGAGGCUACCUGGAUUAAUACUCUAGGAUAGUGGACGUUACUCGCAGAAUAAGCACCGGCUAACUCUGUGCCAGCCGCCGCGGUAACAC